GGCAACUACUGUCGCCAAUCAGGAGGGACCUUGUUGGAAGUUCACACUAAGAGCGGAUUUGGGAGAAUCAGUCAUACUUUCGAGAAGUCUAUGGGAGUUUGGCUUCCUGGAGCCUACAGGUCCUUCCUAGGUGGAACCCGAGGGCAUCUUGUAUAGUCUUGACCUGCACCGCUACCACAGAGAGGACGUCCACUGAGAUCCUGUUGAAUUCAUCGAAGCAGCCCCACACUCCCGUCUGAACCAGCCCU